rnacentral:rRNA from 1 species
AUACGUAGGGUGCAAGCGUUAAUCGGAAUUACUGGGCGUAAAGCGUGCGCAGGCGGUUUUGUAAGACAGAGGUGAAAUCCCCGGGCUCAACCUGGGAACUGCCUUUGUGACUGCAAGGCUAGAGUACGGCAGAGGGGGAUGGAAUUCCCCGGGUAGCAGUGAAAUGCGUAGAUAUGCGGAGGAACACCGAUGGCGAAGGCAAUCCCCUGGGCCUGUACUGACGCUCAUGCACGAAAGCGUGGGGAGCAAACAGGAUUAGAUACCCUGGUAGUCCACGCCCUAAACGAUGUCAACUGGUUGUUGGGUCUUCAUUGACUCAGUAACGAAGCUAACGCGUGAAGUUGACCGUCUGGGGAGUACGGCCGCAAGGUUGAAACUCAAAUGAAUUGACGGGG